GCGCUCGUAGCUCAGCUGGAUAGAGCAACGGCCUUCGAAGCCGACGGUCGCCCGUUCGAAUCGGGCCGAGCGCG
rnacentral:tRNA from 1 species